rnacentral:lncRNA from 1 species
GAACAGCGAAUUUAAAUUCUGAGUUAAUUGACUCCAUCAUGUUUUUGCCUCUUGCUUUUUGCAGUUAAAUUUGGAGACAUGCUCCCCUGUCCUCUCUCCUAGUCUCCUGCAUGUCCUCCUGCCAGGUUUUUCUUCAGCGUUCGGGUCUUCGUGGGAUCCGGAGUCCGCCUCUGCGUGCGCUGCCAGGCGGGGAUCCGGCUCUUCCAUCAGUCGAGCUAUUCCGUCACCCUCAACAAACCAGGAAUAGAAAGGAGUUUUCUCAACAGAAAGGAAUUUUCUCAACCUGAUGAGAAGGAUCUACCAAAACUCCACCCAUAGGGCUGUUCCCAGGCCCGGAAUUGAAUCCAGCCAGAGCUUUGACCCGUAUCGCAGCUGCAGCAAUGCCAGAUCCUUCAACACGCUGUGCUGGGCUGGGGAUCCAACCAGUGUCCACAGAGACGAGCCUGGAUCUUAAGCUGCACCCAGCGGGAGAGACAGGGUGGCCACGGUGGUUCCAUCUCACUCAAAAUGGGAACGCAGGAGACGCCAAAGCAAAAGAACCACCAGGAACCCCUGUUCUGGAUUCGCUAACUCCGCAGAACUGCCACACAGGCUUUCUCUUUACUGAGGCGCGUGUGGAUGAGGCGCCUUUUACUCGGGACCACUUGCAGGUCGGCUACAGGCACCCUGACAGUUCACCUGGCCACGUCCUCGUGCCUCCCGGGAGGAGGGGUCUGCUCGGCAGCAGUCGGCACUCGGAGCCCCCGUCGGUGUCCACGCGCCACCCUCCUUCCGUGCACCUGCAGGGUUGUACGGACUAGAAGCCAGAAGGUUCCAGGUGCUUCCUCAGCUGCUCUGAGUGAAUCAGCGCCCCCUCCUCUCUCUCUCACCCUUGCGUCUUAUGCUGUGGUUGGUUUGUAAUUUAAUCUCAUGUAUUAGGAAACGUCUUCAUUCCUAAACUUUGUCAUCAUUAUCAUCUGCAGUCUGUUUGCAGAUUUCCCCAGGGGUUUGCCGAAUCUCCCGCCCUGCUUGCUUUCUUGCUUCUCUGACCUUCUAUCUGGGACCAGACUCUCCGCCCAGAGGGCAUCCUUCGGCAAGCCUGCUACCGUAAACUCUGUCUCUCUCCGUUUGAGUGAAGACUUAUUUUAGGUCGGCAACUGUAUAACCUAUUGCUGUUGCAAGAAGUUGCCACAAAUUAAAGCAACACAGAUUUAG